rnacentral:rRNA from 1 species
CCUCACCCUCGUAAGACUACCCGCUGAACUUAAGCAUAUCAAUAAGCGGAGGAAAAGAAACCAACAGGGAUUGCCUCAGUAACGGCGAGUGAAGCGGCAAAAGCUCAAAUUUGAAAUCCCCCGGGAAUUGUAAUUUGAAGAGAUUUGGGUCCGGCCGGCAGGGGUUAAGUCCACUGGAAAGUGGCGCCACAGAGGGUGACAGCCCCGUGAACCCCCUCAACGCCCUCAUCCCAGAUCUCCAAGAGUCGAGUUGUUUGGGAAUGCAGCUCUAAGUGGGUGGUAAAUUCCAUCUAAAGCUAAAUACCGGCGAGAGACCGAUAGCGAACAAGUACAGUGAUGGAAAGAUGAAAAGCACUUUGAAAAGAGAGUGAAAAAGUACGUGAAAUUGUUGAAAGGGAAGGGCUUGCAAGCAGACACUUAACUGGGCCAGCAUCGGGGCGGCGGGGAGCAAAACCACCGGGGAAUGUACCUUUCGAGGAUUAUAACCCCGGCCCUUACUCCCAUACCACCCCGAGGCCUGCAAUCUAAGGAUGCUGGCGUAAUGGUUGCAAGUCGCCCGUCUUGAAACACGGACCAAGGAGUCUAACAAUCAUGCAAGUGUUUGGGCCCAAAACCCAUACGCGCAAUGAAAGUAACCGGAGCGAACCUUACCGGUGCAGCUCCAGCCACACCGAGACCCAAAUCCCGGUGUGAGCAAGCAUGGCUGUUGGGACCCGAAAGAUGGUGAACUAUACCUGGAUAGGGUGAAGCCAGAGGAAACUCUGGUGGAGGCUCGUAGCGGUUCUGACGUGCAAAUCGAUCGUCGAAUCUGGGUAUAGGGGCGAAAGACUAAUCGAACCAUCUAGUAGCUGGUUCCUGCCGAAGUU